rnacentral:lncRNA from 1 species
GUUGGUGUAUUGCAUAGUUUUAGAAAUUGGAUUUCACUCAAAAAGCUCCAAAUGACACCUCCCACCAUAUUAUGAAGUUUCCCAUGUUUUGGACUCAAUCCGAUAUCGAUUGGUAAAUGAAGUUGGACAAUUCAGGUUCGUGCGAAGUUCGAUCUGAAAUGGAGUGGUUGGUGUAUUGCAUAGUUCUAGAGAUUGGAUCUCACUUACCAAAUGACUCCUCCCA